rnacentral:tRNA from 1 species
GUGGCAUUAACUCAAUGGCAGAGUGACAUUUUGUGAAAAUGUUGGUUGUGGGUUCAACUCCCACAUGCCACC